rnacentral:tRNA from 1 species
GCCUUCGUGGUGUAGUGGUCAAUAUGCUGGACGCGUAUUCCAGAUUUCCGUGGUUCGAGUCCCGGCGAAGGCG